rnacentral:tRNA from 1 species
GCCCGCUUGGUGGAAUGGUAGACACAACAGACUUAAAAUCUGUCGCUCGCAAGGGCGUGCCAGUUCGAGUCUGGCAGCGGGCACCA